rnacentral:rRNA from 1 species
UACGUAGGGGGCAAGCGUUGUCCGGAAUUAUUGGGCGUAAAGAGCGCGUAGGCGGUCCGAUAAGUCGGCUGUGAAAGUCCAGGGCUCAACCCUGGAAAGCCGGCCGAUACUGUCGGACUAGAGUUCGGAAGAGGCGAGUGGAAUUCCCGGUGUAGCGGUGAAAUGCGCAGAUAUCGGGAGGAACACCAAUUGCGAAGGCAGCUCGCUGGGACGAUACUGACGCUGAGGCGCGAAAGCUAGGGGAGCAAACGGG